AAGAUUCAAAGAACUUGAGGCAUGCAUGUAAGUAGAUCUUGUAAUGCAUGGUGAUUUUGAAGCUAAAUAAGCAAUGGUAAUGGUGUCCAUAGAUGAGAGGACGUUGUGAAUCAUAUUUGGAAAUUUAAGCUUGAACCGAGAGCCAAUAUCGUUAAGACUGCCAUGGUUAUGGGGAUCUGGUGGAAUGAAGCUCCCGGAUGUUAUUAUGUGGAAGCGAGCCACAAGUUCUUCAUUUCUAUUACCUACUCGAGAGUGAUAUCUCUUUGGGUUUUCAAUGCGUGUUCUUUCGCAUGAUAAGUGAUCAGCUCGAGUAUAUUGUCCCUACAAACCUUGAUUUGCUACAACGUAGGUAAUGGCAUCUCUUAGACUUUCGCUUUGAGUUGCUCCGCUGCAUAGAGGUUGUGUUGUGUCAAAUAGUCAAACUUAAAAAGAUAAAUAGUCUAUAUGAAAUGUAUGUGCUAAAACCUGAGGUUG